rnacentral:piRNA from 1 species
UGNGGUGCUUAGUGCUAAGUUUAGACGC